AAUGUUAUCACGGGAGACACACGGCGGGUGCUAACGUCCGUCGUGAAGAGGGAAACAACCCAGACCGCCAGCUAAGGUCCCAAAGUCAUGGUUAAGUGGGAAACGAUGUGGGAAGGCCCAGACAGCCAGGAUGUUGGCUUAGAAGCAGCCAUCAUUUAAAGAAAGCGUAAUAGCUCACUGGUCGAGUCGGCCUGCGCGGAAGAUGUAACGGGGCUAAACCAUGCACCGAAGCUGCGGCAGCGACACUUUAGUGUUGUUGGGUAGGGGAGCGUUCUGUAAGCCGUUGAAGGUGUCCUGUGAGGGGUGCUGGAGGUAUCAGAAGUGCGAAUGCUGACAUAAGUAACGAUAAAGCGGGUGAAAAGCCCGCUCGCCGGAAGACCAAGGGUUCCUGUCCAACGUUAAUCGGGGCAGGGUGAGUCGACCCCUAAGGCGAGGCCGAAAGGCGUAGUCGAUGGGAAACGGGUUAAUAUUCCCGUACUUGGUGUUACUGCGAAGGGGGGACGGAGAAGGCUAUGUUGGCCGGGCGACGGUUGUCCCGGUUUAAGCGUGUAGGUGUGUGUUCCAGGUAAAUCCGGUUCACUUUAACACUGAGGCGUGAUGACGAGGCACCACGGUGCUGAAGCAACAAAUGCCCUGCUUCCAGGAAAAGCCUCUAAGCAUCAGGUAACAUCAAAUCGUACCCCAAACCGACACAGGUGGUCAGGUAGAGAAUACCAAGGCGCUUGAGAGAACUCGGGUGAAGGAACUAGGCAAAAUGGUGCCGUAACUUCGGGAGAAGGCACGCUGACACGUAGGUGAAGUGAUUUACUCAUGGAGCUGAAGUCAGUCGAAGAUACCAGCUGGCUGCAACUGUUUAUUAAAAACACAGCACUGUGCAAACACGAAAGUGGACGUAUACGGUGUGACGCCUGCCCGGUGCCGGAAGGUUAAUUGAUGGGGUCAGCGCAAGCGAAGCUCCUGAUCGAAGCCCCGGUAAACGGCGGCCGUAACUAUAACGGUCCUAAGGUAGCGAAAUUCCUUGUCGGGUAAGUUCCGACCUGCACGAAUGGCGUAAUGAUGGCCAGGCUGUCUCCACCCGAGACUCAGUGAAAUUGAACUCGCUGUGAAGAUGCAGUGUACCCGCGGCAAGACGGAAAGACCCCGUGAACCUUUACUAUAGCUUGACACUGAACAUUGAGCCUUGAUGUGUAGGAUAGGUGGGAGGCUUUGAAGCGUGGACGCCAGUCUGCGUGGAGCCGACCUUGAAAUACCACCCUUUAAUGUUUGAUGUUCUAACGUGGACCCGUAAUCCGGGUUGCGGACAGUGUCUGGUGGGUAGUUUGACUGGGGCGGUCUCCUCCUAAAGAGUAACGGAGGAGCACGAAGGUUGGCUAAUCCUGGUCGGACAUCAGGAGGUUAGUGCAAUGGCAUAAGCCAGCUUGACUGCGAGCGUGACGGCGCGAGCAGGUGCGAAAGCAGGUCAUAGUGAUCCGGUGGUUCUGAAUGGAAGGGCCAUCGCUCAACGGAUAAAAGGUACUCCGGGGAUAACAGGCUGAUACCGCCCAAGAGUUCAUAUCGACGGCGGUGUUUGGCACCUCGAUGUCGGCUCAUCACAUCCUGGGGCUGAAGUAGGUCCCAAGGGUAUGGCUGUUCGCCAUUUAAAGUGGUACGCGAGCUGGGUUUAGAACGUCGUG
rnacentral:rRNA from 1 species